CCAGCCAUGCCGCGUGUAGGAAGACUGCCCUAUGGGUUGUAAACUACUUUUAUAUGGGAAGAAUAAGGUCUACGUGUAGACUGAUGACGGUACCAUAAGAAUAAGCACCGGCUAACUCCGUGCCAGCAGCCGCGGUAAUACGGAGGGUGCAAGCGUUAUCCGGAAUCAUUGGGUUUAAAGGGUCCGUAGGCGGGCAUAUAAGUCAGUGGUGAAAGUCUGUGGCUCAACCAUAGAAUUGCCAUUGAUACUGUAUGUCUUGAAUUAUUGUGAAGUGGUUAGAAUAUGUAGUGUAGCGGUGAAAUGCUUAGAGAUUACAUAGAAUACCGAUUGCGAAGGCAGAUCACUAACAAUAUAUUGACGCUGAUGGACGAAAGCGUAGGUAGCGAACAGGAUUAGAUACCCUGGUAG
rnacentral:rRNA from 1 species